GUAAUCGUUAAUAGCAAAGAAAAAAAAUAUAAUAAUAUUACAUUUUUACACAUAAAAAUGUGAAUUUUUUUUAUAAUAAGUAUUUUGUAUUUUAUUUCUAUAUGCUAAUGUAUAAUGGAAAAGAAACGAUGCAACCUUGGCUUAGUAAUGCUUAAUAGAAAUUAACGUUUUUGGGCGCAUUUACUUCAUUUUCUUAUUAUUUUGCUUCUAUUAUGCGAAAAUUGUAUUUUGAAUGGGCAAAGUAGAUUGAAAAUCCAAAUGAGAUGUGAUUUUCCUUAAUCUCGUUAAUUUUCUUGCCCCUUGUUGAUAACAGGUAGAGCUUGGGAUCCAGUAUAUGCUCUGUUUUCUUAUAUUCUUCACGGUAGCAAAUAUUGUUGUAAGACUUGGCCAAUCAGUGUGAUAAGAUGGGCGUACAAAUUGAUUAGAUUAAGGUUAUUUUUGUCAAAUAAUA
rnacentral:misc_RNA from 1 species